UACGUAGGUGGCGAGCGUUAUCCGGAAUUACUGGGCGUAAAGCGCAAGCAGGCGGCUUGUUAAGUUUGACGUGAAAUCUCCCGGCUUAACCGGGAGGAGCCGUUGAAAACUGGCAAGCUUGAGGCGAUGAGAGGGGUGUGGAAUUCCCGGUGUAGUGGUGGAAUGCGUAGAUAUCGGGAGGAACACCAGAGGCGAAAGCGACACCCUGGCAUUGGCCUGACGCUGAGAUGCGAAAGCGUGGGGAGCAAACGGG
rnacentral:rRNA from 1 species